CGUAUAAUUAACUUAAAUAAGUUUAUAUAUUAUUAAUUCAAUUCUGACGUUUAUAACAAUGGAGACUCAGUAUAUAAAUGUGUGUGUUUGGCACACUCUAGAAGUCUACUAACUCGCCGAAUGGCGCAAAGUCUUAGAUUUUCUUCAAAAUAUUUUGAAUAAUUGAGAAUUUUAUUUACUUUAAAUCCUUGAUCUUGAGCUCUCAGCCGUUCAAUCCAGGGUGCUGGUACCUAGUGACUAAACUUCAAAUUAAUCGACAACUUUUUUUUUAUUAUUCUUUAAUCAUUAUAUCAUAACUUAUUAUUUGAUUCAUUUUUUGUUUUAUCACUUGCAAUUUUUCUGUAAAAUUUAUGUCCUAAAAUAAUUAUCAUUUUUUUAAAUA